GGGACUACAGGCAUGCGCCACCACACCCAGCUAAUUUUUGUAUUUUUAACAGAGACAGGGUUUCACCAUCUUGGCCAGGCUGGUCCCAAAUUCCUCACCUCAAGUGAUCCUCCCGCCUCAGCCUCCCAACAUUUGUAUACUUUUUGAAGUCACACAUCUUCCUGAAAAGUGGAUAGAAGUUUUCAACCUUCUUCGCAGGAUGGAGGGCAGACACAGAACUUCAACACAGUGACAGGGGCUUCAAACGACUAAGUUCCGUCCAGGUACCCUUGGAGAUGUGUGCUGCUGCGUGGAAGAUGACUGAGCAUGAGACACGCAGUGCCCGACCGCGUGGAGCCUACGUCCUAGAGAGGAGGCACAGGAACACCAGACACGAGAACGGGAACUGAGUCACCAGCGGGGAAGACAGACCUUAUCCAAGUAGCUUCACUAAGAAACAGAACUGAUUAAAAGGGAAGAAAUGUGGUUGUCUUACGGCAAGUCACAAAAGAAUAUGAUGUGCUCUGGGGUAACCAAGGCAGGCUUCCCUGAGGAAGUGACCCCUGAACUGAGUGAUUCAGAGUUAAUGCAUCAUACAGCCCAGAAUCAGCAUGUGCAAACGUCCAGAAGAAACCUACAGCAAGACCAGCACAGCCCAACAGCCCCAGAGAGGAGCCCCACGUCCUUUAGGGUGAGCCCAGGGCUGACCUAAGGAGAUCCACAACAUGGCUGAAGGAGGCAGGAGAGAAGAGAAGGGUCCCCUCCAGGUUGGCUCCCAGGCUGCCAGACACUGAUCGGAAGGUGACAUCAGAAUAGGACGAGUGUUUCCACAUUUCUGGGUGGAACUCCUGGCUGAGGAUGUCCUCGGGGAGGGUGUCCCGGAGGGCCCGUUUCAGGGGGUCGUGCGUCUCCAGCAGCUGCAGGAUGUGACUCCACACAAAAGAACCCA
rnacentral:lncRNA from 1 species